AUGGAAGCUAUAUUGGUUUGCAAACAAGAUUGGGUUUGUUUGGAUAAAGGUGAUAAGUUCAAGGAUGUUUCAUGGGGUACUUGUCAACAUCAGUCUGCCUCAUCUGAAUAUCUCCAAUACAUUGACCUCUAUGAGAUCAUCAAAUGGCACUGAAGUAUUAUAGCAGAAGAACAAGAAAGCUUGUAUCAUAUAGAAGGCAUUAUGUUGGAAAUGAGCAAAUGCAUUUCAUAGAAUCACAGAAUCAGAAUAUCCUGAAUUGGAAGGCACAUACAAGGAGUCCACCAUAUCUAAGUUUGUUUGAAAUAAAAGCACAAGUGCUGCAGUUAAGGAUGUGGAUCCAACUUCUGAGAACUCAGCAGGCUUUCUGCAUCACUUGGUAAUAGGCAGCUUCAGCCUCUGCAAGCUGACAAGUCAAAAAACAAG
ensembl:lncRNA